AAUAGAACGAUCGGGAUCUGUCAGAAUUCUGGCUUCUGCCCAUAUGUAAAUUACAUUGUAUCACGUCUCGUUUCGUCACGUCUCGUCUCGUCUCGUCUCGUCUCGCCUCCCGUUUGAAGAGGAUUACUUUGACUUCUUUGAACGAGUUUCAGAUUUCCUCUGUUGCGCAGUGGUGAAUUUGGAAAUACUGCAUUUGGCCUAACAGCUCUGAUUACGAUUUUGGCCCAAAGAUACAAAAGUCUUCAUGUUCUGAAUGUCCCUUAUGGCUAAUGAUUUAAAAGAAGUAAUGUUCUCGGCUUGGACUGUUUGAGUUGACAGUUUAUUCCAUACCCGAACAGUUCGUAUAAACGGAGAAUAACUGUGCGCUAAAACACUUGAGUGGGGCUGGAGCAUGGAAUGUUGGAUCCUUGGUCUAGGAGCUGGUUGGAUAGAAGAUGGGGCCAGCAAACGUCUGGAUUCCAAGGAGUCCCAACCAAGUUGAUUUACAAGAUCUUGUGAGUUUGUAGAUCUCUUGUAAUUGUGGGCGACGAAACGAGCAGCCCAUCUGAUUUGCACUUAGUGUUUUAUAGUUUUGGCGCCACAGCGUUGUCCCAGGGAGUCUGGGGACCAACCCCUCUCUUUAUUUAAAGUCGCGAAGAAUCAAAAUAACGGUCAGCCAGAGAUCACGAAAGGAUCUAUAAGAUGUAUGGAAUGCCCUACGAAUUUUUGACUUGCUUCCUCUGACAACCAGUACAAAAAUAAACGGCAACCAUACAUCAGAAACCUUCAAAGCUACAGUAACGCUUCAAAACGAAAGCGCGAAUCACCGUCGCUGGACUUUUUCGAUAGUUUCAGUGUCCCUGUUUGUCUGUGGCUUCCAGGCAGCGCUUGCAUAUUCUAGUAAAGGUUGAAUAAUUGCUUUGUAGGCUCUUUCCUUGACUUCAGGCGUACACGGUUGUAAAGUCCGUUUGACCAGCCCGAGAGCCCUAUUGGCUUCAUUGGAAGUUUUGUCACAGUGUUCUUUCCGAUUUAGCUUGCUCGUUAAUCUAACACCCAGAUAAUCAUAGGAAGUUACAUGUUCCAAGACCUGACUAUGCAUGUAAUAUGGUAGUAUGACAAUGGUUCGCUUGUUGGUCAAGGAAAUGUGGUAGCAUUUCUUAACAUUAAAAUCCAUCUGCCAAAGACAGGCCCAUGAAGUUAGUCUGUCAAGGUCUUGUUGAAAGAUAAGAUGAUCCGCAGGCGAUACCAUCUGUCGGUACCUAAUGGUGUCGGUACAUAAUGGUGUCUAAUAUUUGACUUGAUGUCACCCACGAUGUCAUUUAUGUACAUCAAGAAAAGCGUGGGGCCUAAGACAGACCCUUGUGGAACACCUGAAAUAACCUUGCACGGGGUAGAGUGUACGCCGUUUACACUGACACUUUGGGAGCGGUUGCUUAAGAAACCCUUUAUCCAUAAUAAGGUUUGCCCUUGAAUACCAUACUGACUUAACUUAUGUAAGAGCUUUGGAUGAGAUACUUUGUCGUAGGCCUUGCUGAGAUCGAGUUGGAUAACAUCAGCUUGACCCUUAAUGUUGAGAAUGGAGGCCCACUCGUGAAUGGCUGAGACCAGUUGCGUUUCACAAGAUAGUCUGGACCUGAAGCGAUGUUGGUGUUUACAAAGGAUGUUAUUUGUGGACAGGUGCUUGUGGACGUAAAUAUUAAAACAUUUCCCAGCCCCCAUUUUAUCAAAUAGACCAGCAUGGUGUUCAAUCAAGACAUCUGACACUGAAGGUACAUAUUGGAAUUAAAUGAAUAAAUUUAAUUGAAAUUUA
rnacentral:lncRNA from 1 species